rnacentral:rRNA from 1 species
ACGGGUGAGUAAUGUCUGGGAAACUGCCUGAUGGAGGGGGAUAACUACUGGAAACGGUAGCUAAUACCGCAUAACGUCGCAAGACCAAAGAGGGGGACCUUCGGGCCUCUUGCCAUCGGAUGUGCCCAGAUGGGAUUAGCUUGUUGGUGGGGUAACGGCUCACCAAGGCGACGAUCCCUAGCUGGUCUGAGAGGAUGACCAGCCACACUGGAACUGAGACACGGUCCAGACUCCUACGGGAGGCAGCAGUGGGGAAUAUUGCACAAUGGGCGCAAGCCUGAUGCAGCCAUGCCGCGUGUAUGAAGAAGGCCUUCGGGUUGUAAAGUACUUUCAGCGGGGAGGAAGGGAGUAAAGUUAAUACCUUUGCUCAUUGACGUUACCCGCAGAAGAAGCACCGGCUAACUCCGUGCCAGCAGCCGCGGUAAUACGGAGGGUGCAAGCGUUAAUCGGAAUUACUGGGCGUAAAGCGCACGCAGGCGGUUUGUUAAGUCAGAUGUGAAAUCCCCGGGCUCAACCUGGGAACUGCAUCUGAUACUGGCAAGCUUGAGUCUCGUAGAGGGGGGUAGAAUUCCAGGUGUAGCGGUGAAAUGCGUAGAGAUCUGGAGGAAUACCGGUGGCGAAGGCGGCCCCCUGGACGAAGACUGACGCUCAGGUGCGAAAGCGUGGGGAGCAAACAGGAUUAGAUACCCCGGUAGUCCACGCCGUAAACGAUGUCGACUUGGAGGUUGUGCCCUUGAGGCGUGGCUUCCGGAGCUAACG